UCGAUGUUAGGUAUAUUGCUGCCAGUCG
rnacentral:sRNA from 1 species